rnacentral:rRNA from 1 species
UACGAAGGGUGCAAGCGUUACUCGGAAUUACUGGGCGUAAAGCGUGCGUAGGUGGUUUGUUAAGUCUGAUGUGAAAGCCCUGGGCUCAACCUGGGAACUGCAUUGGAAACUGGCUUACUAGAGUGCGGUAGAGGGGUGCGGAAUUCCCGGUGUAGCAGUGAAAUGCGUAGAUAUCGGGAGGAACAUCCGUGGCGAAGGCGGCACCCUGGACCAGCCACUGACACUGAGGCACGAAAGCGUGGGGAGCAAACAGG